UCCGGUGAUUCUGUCGGUAGGGUCACACCCGUUCCCAUCCCGAACACGGAAGUUAAGCCUACUGGAGCCGAUGAUACUGCAUCUUUCAGGUGUGGGAAAGUAGGAAGUCGCCGGAU
rfam:Acidobacteria bacterium OLB17 TZ17_ACD001CONTIG000014, whole genome shotgun sequence.